rnacentral:rRNA from 1 species
CCUACGGGGGGCAGCAGUGGGGAAUAUUGGACAAUGGGGGAAACCCUGAUCCAGCGACGCCGCGUGGGUGAAGAAGGCCUGCGGGUUGUAAAGCCCUUUCGGUAGGGACGAAAGCUCUUGCUCUAAUAAUGCAAGAGGUUGACUUAACCUACAUAAGAAGCACCGGCUAACUCUGUGCCAGCAGCCGCGGUAAUACAGAGGGUGCGAGCGUUAAUCGGAAUUACUGGGCGUAAAGCGCACGUAGUCGGCUUGUCAAGUCGGGUGUGAAAUCCCCGGGCUCAACCUGGGAACUGCAUCCGAAACUGACUUGCUAGAGUAUGGGAGAGGGAGGCGGAAUUUCUGGUGUAGCAGUGAAAUGCGUAGAUAUCAGAAGGAACAUCAGUGGCGAAGGCGGCCUCCUGGACCAAUACUGACGCUCAGGUGCGAAAGCGUGGGGAGCAAACAGGCUUAGAUACCCCGGUAGUC